rnacentral:rRNA from 1 species
CUAAGAGUUGCUUCCUACGGGUGGCAGCAGUAGGGAAUCUUCCACAAUGGACGCAAGUCUGAUGGAGCAACGCCGCGUGAGUGAAGAAGGUUUUCGGAUCGUAAAGCUCUGUUGUUGGUGAAGAAGGAUAGAGGUAGUAACUGUCCUUUAUUUGACGGUAAUCAACCAGAAAGUCACGGCUAACUACGUGCCAGCAGCCGCGGUAAUACGUAGGUGGCAAGCGUUGUCCGGAUUUAUUGGGCGUAAAGCGAGCGCAGGCGGAAGAAUAAGUCUGAUGUGAAAGCCCUCGGCUUAACCGAGGAACUGCAUCGGAAACUGUUUUUCUUGAGUGCAGAAGAGGAGAGUGGAACUCCAUGUGUAGCGGUGGAAUGCGUAGAUAUAUGGAAGAACACCAGUGGCGAAGGCGGCUCUCUGGUCUGCAACUGACGAUGAGGCUCGAAAGCAUGGGUAGCGAACAGGAUUAGAUACCCUUGUAGUCAAGCAACUCUACG